GACGAACGCUGGCGGCGUGCUUAACACAUGCAAGUCGAACGGAAAGGCCCUGCUUUUGUGGGGUGCUCGAGUGGCGAACGGGUGAGUAACACGUGAGUAACCUGCCCUUGACUUUGUGAUAACUUCAGGAAACUGGGGCUAAUACCGGAUAGGAGCUCCUGCUGCAUGGUGGGGGUUGGAAAGUUUCGGCGGUUGGGGAUGGACUCGCGGCAUAUCAGCUUGUUGGUGGGGUAGUGGCUUACCAAGGCUGUGACGGGUAGCCGGCCUGAGAGGGUGACCGGCCACAUUGGGACUGAGAUAGGGCGCAGACGCCUACGGGAGGCAGCAGUGGGGAAUAUUGCACAAUGGGCGGAAGCCUGAUGCAGCAACGCCGCGUGCGGGAUGACGGCCUUCGGGUGGUAAACCGCUUUCGCCUGUGACGAAGCGUGAGUGACGGUAAUGGGUAAAGAAGCACCGGCUAACUACGUG
rnacentral:rRNA from 1 species